UUGGCGUUAAAAAUUCUGAAAGGUGAAAAAGAACAAGAAUGGAGAAAUAAAUGGGAGAGAGCAAAUGGAGAAAAUGUGUGAUGUACACGUGUGUAAUGAAUGGGUUACCUGUAUAGCCGGGAAAUACUGUAAUUGAAGCGUUCUCUUUGGCCCGUUAUUGAAUAUUGUUUGUUAAAUUUGGAUUGUCUAUUUGAGAAUUAGGAUAUUUUUUGCAUUUUCAUUUGGGAUGUUGUUUACUACAUUGACUUUUUUCAUACAUUUUUCUUUUUAACUCGACAUAUGGACCAAUUAAAAAUAAUUUAUUUUUGUGGUUAUUAACGACCCCAACCGAGCCGAACUGACUUUCGUGGUUAUGGUGCGAUUAUGGUAUGACCAAAAAAUUGGUGGUUCGUUGAUGGUUUUGGCCGAACCGACCUCGAACCGAACCGUUGCCAUCUCUAGGAUAUUUGUUGCAAUCUUUCGUCUGUAUAACUCAUCUUCUUUGGUGAAACUGAUUCUAAUGGAUAUCCAAAAACGAAGCAUUCAAUGUAUUUGAGAAAAAAAUUCCACAAUUUGGCCUAUAGAAAAAGGUUAAAGUUAGAUUAUCUUAAUACUGUAAAUAUAAAAUUAAAAUAAAUAGAAAAUUAAAUAUUAUAGUAAAUUGUGGAGAUGCUUACCCAUUAUUUUGACAAGGUAGAUAUGGCAUGAUUUCCAACUUCAUAAGUGUAUUUCUAUGCUUCCUUAAACUUGGCUUGUUGGAGAAAAUGUGUGCAAAUACUAAUAAUGAUUCUAUUACAGUCAAUACUGGUAUUGCAUAUGCCCUCAUUUGUUCCGACGUAUGAAUGUUGUGGCUCUAAUCAUAUAUAUGAAAUUUCCAUUUUCGAAAAAUCAACAAAAAAAAGAAAUCAAGUGUUGCCUGGAUAUGCGGAUAGAAUUAAUAAAUAGUUGUAUAUUAUCCACGGACGAGCAGGUACUGGCAAUUUUCCAUUUAUGUACUGUUGUAAUACGUUCAUAUUAGUUGCAGAAUUGUCAAUUCCUUCUUGCAUAUUCAAUUGCCAAUAAACAUAUUCGGUUUUGAAUCUAAGAUCCAUGAUUGCAUAUUCUUUAGACAGUAGGGGAGAAUCAUCCUUAAUAAGCCUCUUCAAUAGCUUUAAUUCUAUAUCAAUAUGCUAAUAAAAUAAAAUAAAAUGUAUAUUAGAUAUAUUAAUAAUGAAAUAAAAUGAAUUAUCAUUACUAAAUUUUACUUAUCACAAUAUUUAUAUCUUUUUUUUAUCUAUUAUAUAUUUUAGCAUCUAUCUUCCAUAGAGAUUACAAGCUUCAUCAUCCCAAUACGUACUGUAUAAGAAAAUUUAAAUUUUUGUUAAAUAAAUAAAAUACAAAUUAUAAUAUUUAGACUAAUAAAGUAAAAUAGGAUCUUUUCUUCAUCUCAAUACAUACUGUAUAAGAAAAUUUAAAUUGGCGUUAAAUGAGUAAAAAACAAAUUAUAAUAUUUAAGCUAACAAAGUAAAAUUGGAUCUCUUGCCCUGAUGGACUUUGUAAUAUCCAAUCUCUAAUGUUUUUGUACUUGUUGGUGUUAUAGUCUUCUAAAGUAUUAGCUGGCUG
rnacentral:lncRNA from 1 species